CAGUAGCCGCGGUAAUACGAAGGGGGCUAGCGUUGCUCGGAAUGACUGGGCGUAAAGGGCGCGUAGGCGGCGGCCAAAGUCAGGCGUGAAAUUCCCGGGCUCAACCUGGGGGCUGCGUUUGAUACUUGGUUGCUUGAGUGGGGAAGAGGGUCGUGGAAUUCCCAGUGUAGAGGUGAAAUUCGUAGAUAUUGGGAAGAACACCGGUGGCGAAGGCGGCGACCUGGUCCUUUACUGACGCUGAGGCGCGAAAGCGUGGGGAGCAAACAGGAUUAGAUACCCGAGUAGUCCCUGUCUCUUAUAC
rnacentral:rRNA from 1 species